rnacentral:rRNA from 1 species
CGAAAGCCUGACGGAGCAAUACCGCGUGAGGGAGGAAUGCCUUUGGGUCGUAAACCUCUUUUCUCAGGGAAGAAGAUCUGACGGUACCUGAGGAAUAAGUAUCGGCUAACUCCGUGCCAGCAGCCGCGGUAAUACGGAGGAUGCAAGCGUUAUCCGGAAUCAUUGGGCGUAAAGCGUCCGCAGGUGGUUUCCAAAGUCUGCUGUUAAAGACUGGAGCUCAACUCCGGAACGGCGGUGGAAACCUGGAAACUAGAGUUCGGUAGGGGUAGCAGGAAUUCCCAGUGUAGCGGUGAAAUGCGUAGAUAUUGGGAAGAACAUCGGUGGCGAAGGCGUGCUACUGGACCGCAACUGACACUCAGGGACGAAAGCUAGGGUAGCGAAAGGGAUUAGAUACCCCUGUAGUCCUAGCCGUAAACGAUG